AAACCGUUGAAAGGGAAGCGAAUGGGGUUAGCAAUUCGUCACGUCAGAUUCAGUCGUUCGCGCUCCGCGACGAGCGCGCUCUCGAUCCUCGUGGACGGGACGUGCUCGGACGCGGCGUGCGUCCGGCGCACUUCUGGCUGGCGAGCGUCAGCGUCGGUUGCCGAUGGGAGAGAAGGUCGCGAGGAAGGUGAGCAAUCCCUUUGUGGAAUGCUGUUAAGCCUCGUGUACGUACGUCUCGUCGGUGACCGUGGCGUUUCGGCGACGCGUGCCUGGCUGGCGACUCGUUUGGACGGUCCGGUCGUCGACCGUGGCGGACGGCAAGCCUGUGCGCUCGAACCGCUGCCGGUCGUUCGGACGAUGUUCGCACACUACGCGUCGAAGAUGCUGACGACCAUACGGCCCCAUCCGACCCGUCUUGAAACACGGACCAAGGAGUCUAACAUGUGCGCGAGUCUCCGGGUGAUCGAAACCCGUGGGCGCAAUGAAAGUAAAGGUCGCUCACGCGGCCGAGGUGAGAGGCGCUUGCCGCCGCAUCAUCGACCGACCUAUUCUGCUCUCAGACAGGUUUGAGUAAGAGCGUAUCUGUUGGGACCCGAAAGAUGGUGAACUAUGCCUGAAUAGGGUGAAGCCAGCGGAAACACUGGUGGAAGCUCGUAGCGAUUCUGACGUGCAAAUCGAUCGUCGAAUUUGGGUAUAGCGGCGAAAGACUAAUCGAACCAUCUAGUAGCUGGUUCCCUCCGAAGUUUCCCUCAGGAUAGC
rnacentral:rRNA from 1 species